rnacentral:rRNA from 1 species
GACGAACGCUGGCGGCGUGCUUAACACAUGCAAGUCGAACGGAAAGGCCCUGCUUUUGUGGGGUGCUCGAGUGGCGAACGGGUGAGUAACACGUGAGUAACCUGCCCUUGACUUUGGGAUAACUUCAGGAAACUGGGGCUAAUACCGGAUAGGAGCUCCUGCUGCAUGGUGGGGGUUGGAAAGUUUCGGCGGUUGGGGAUGGACUCGCGGCUUAUCAGCUUGUUGGUGGGGUAGUGGCUUACCAAGGCUUUGACGGGUAGCCGGCCUGAGAGGGUGACCGGCCACAUUGGGACUGAGAUACGGCCCAGACUCCUACGGGAGGCAGCAGUGGGGAAUAUUGCACAAUGGGCGGAAGCCUGAUGCAGCAACGCCGCGUGCGGGAUGACGGCCUUCGGAUUGUAAACCGCUUUCGCCUGUGACGAAGCGUGAGUGACGGUAAUGGGUAAAGAAGCACUGGCUAACUACGUG